rnacentral:tRNA from 1 species
UCUCUGACAGUCCAGUGGUUAAGACUCUGCAUUUCCAUUUCAGUGGGCACAGGUUCAACCCCUGGUCAGGGAA